rnacentral:rRNA from 1 species
AUUGAACGCUGGCGGCAGGCCUAACACAUGCAAGUCGAACGAGUGGCGGACGGGUGAGUAAUGUCUGGGAACCUGCCUGAUGGCGGGGGUUAACUACUGGAAACGGUAGCUAAUCCCGCAUACCAUCAGAUGUUCCCAGAUGGGAUUCGCUUGUUGGUGGGGUAACGGCUCACCAAGGCGACGAUCCCUAGCUGGUCUGAGAGGAUGACCGGCCACACUGGAACUGAGACACGGUCCAGACUCCUACGGGAGGCAGCAGUGGGGAAUAUUGCACAAUGGGCGAAAGCCUGAUGCAGCCAUGCCGCGUGAGUGAAGAAGGCCUUCGGGUCGUAAAGUACUUUCAGCGGGGAGGCGUUACCCGAAGAAGAAGCACCGGCUAACUCCGUGCCAGCAGCCGCGGUAAUAC